CCUCGGCAUGGCGAGCAGAUCGCCGCCGUCCGCCGCUCGGCCGCUGCCUCAUCCUCGCGCAUCGAUUGCCUCACGGCCGUAGCCACUGUCAUGGUUGGGCUCCGGUGCCGCCGUCCGCGCCGCGUGGGAGCGCCGGGGCCGCCUCGGAACCUCCGCGGGAGGGCAUGCGCCGCCGCCACCGCAGCCGCAGGGGCGCGAGCAGGCGGGCGCUGCCGCGUGCCACGGGCGAGGCUGCCGCCACGAGCCUGGCGCAGCCAUGCCGCGGCACGCCGCGAUCUUUCGCUUCGGGCUGAGCCGGCGUUGCUGGGCUUGGCCGCCGCUCGUCGCGAGCGUGGCUGCAAGCCACAGUCGUCGGUGAGCGGCAGGGUGGGACCUACCGCCGUCAGGCUCAGUUCGGGCGUCGCUGCAAGAGCCAGGCCUCUGCGUGCCGCGUGCAUCCGCUCGUUCCCGUGCAAGCACACGGACAGAGGGCUUGGUGCAGAAAAAGGAAAACGGCAGGCAGUGCCAUGGUAACACACCAAAAGGAAUGUCGGCAACAGAGGUGUCACUGAUGAUGAAGUCGAAGAACAGCCUCUGUUGUUUCUCGUCGGCCAUCCUCUUCUUCUAUUCUUCUUGAUGGUUUGCCGAAUUCAGUUGAGAAUCGAGCCAUGCGUGAGCAUCUCGGAGUCCAAUAGGUCUUCCGGUGCUUUUACAUCGUUGCACUUGUCGCCGGGAAGAACGAACAGCAGGCAAACUCGCGCAGUGGAGAAGCAAAGUGCUGAUAAUUCAACCUUUAAGUUUGUGGUU